UACAGAGGUCUCAAGCGUUGUUCGGAUUCAUUGGGCGUAAAGGGUGCGUAGGCGGCGCGGUAAGUCGGGUGUGAAAUCUCGGAGCUUAACUCCGAAACUGCAUUCGAUACUGCCGUGCUAGAGGACUGGAGAGGAGACUGGAAUUUACGGUGUAGCGGUGAAAUGCGUAGAUAUCGUAAGGAAGACCAGUGGCGAAGGCGGGUCUCUGGACAGUUCCUGACGCUGAGGCACGAAGGCCAGGGGAGCAAACGGG
rnacentral:rRNA from 1 species